rnacentral:rRNA from 1 species
ACUACGGGUGGCAGCAGUAGGGAAUCUUUCACAAUGGGCGAAAGCCUGAUGGAGCAACGCCGCGUGCAGGAUGAAGGCCUUCGGGUUGUAAACUGCUUUUAUAAGCGAGAAAUAUGAUGGUAACUUAUGAAUAAGGAUCGGCUAACUACGUGCCAGCAGCCGCGGUCAUACGUAGGAUCCGAGCAUUAUCCGGAGUGACUGGGUGUAAAGAGUUGCGUAGGUGGCAUAAUAAGUAGCUAGUGAAAUCUGUUGGCUCAACCAUUCAGACUAUUAGCUAAACUGUUAAGCUCGAGACCGUUAGGGGUAACUGGAAUUUCUAGUGUAGGAGUGAAAUCCGUAGAUAUUAGAAGGAACACCAAUAGCGUAGGCAGGUUACUGGGACGGUUCUGACACUAAGGCACGAAAGCGUAGGGAGCAAACGGGAUUAGAUACCCGUGUAGUC